UACGAAGGGGGCUAGCGUUGUUCGGAAUUACUGGGCGUAAAGCGCACGUAGGCGGACUACUAAGUCAGGGGUGAAAUCCCGGGGCUCAACCCCGGAACUGCCUUUGAUACUGAUAGUCUCGAGUCCGGAAGAGGUGAGUGGAAUUCCGAGUGUAGAGGUGAAAUUCGUAGAUAUUGGGAAGAACACCGGUGGCGAAGGCGGCUAUCUGGCCCGUAAUUGACGCUGAGGCGCGAAAGCGUGGGGAGCAAACAGG
rnacentral:rRNA from 1 species